CAAAGUUCUACCGGGGCUCCAGUAAGGAGAGGCGGCACCAGUAUCCAGAUCAGUAUCAGCACUAUGAUAGGGGGGAUCGUAAUGAUAGGAAUCAAAGGUUUGAAGACCACAGGUCUCCAGAGGAAGAGUAUCAAAGGAGACCAAGAGAACAAGAUGAACGGUACCAUCCAAGAGAAGAAAUGAGAGGUUACAACCGCUACAAUCAAUAUGAAGAAAGAUCCGGGCU